rnacentral:lncRNA from 13 species
AUGUGUCGGGCCCUGCGGGUACGAUUCCGGACCAACGGAUUUCCCCUGGUGCCUCCGGCCCACGUCGCGGGAACCGCUCGCUCCUCGCCAGUGGAUACGGGAUGCUCUGCCGCUCAGAUUUUAGCGGCAGAAACGACCUCGGAUUCUCUCUACCUGGGGAAAGAUGAAUUCUGCGGCUCGGUAUCGCUAGAAGAAGGGAGAAUGAAAAGGGAGGCUCCGGGACGGGGGUUCCGGCUCCUUCCAGUCUGCGGACGUCCCAGCUCCAUUGAGCCCUGCCCUAGCCCCCCUUGCUUCUCUUCUUACGGCCGUGCACCCUCUCCUCUGCGCCACCCGCCUCCCGCGACCAGGGUCCUCUGAGCUGCCCCCCCCCCACCCCACUCAGCCCUGUCCAUCCCGCCCUGGGCUGUCUGGACCAUUUUGUGCUUCUGACCAGAGCCGGAGCUGCACUGCCCGCUCCCUGUUUGCCACCCCAGCUGGAGGCGCGGAUCUGGGGCAGCGCAAGGGCAGUCCAGGCUGGGUGAGAAGGAGCUAGAAGCCGAGGACCAGGACCUGUGAGCGUCUGUAUUUACUCUGCGGGGAGAGCCAGGGCUGUGGAGAGUCUGGGCCGUCUCACGUCGCCCCGCCGCCAUCGGCACUGCGGAGUCUCAGAUGCACAAGAGGCGGCCAGACUGGGUGAACCAGAGCCGUCCCAAGACGUGGGGCUGGGUUGGGGGUUGAUAUUCCUGGGAGGUGGCCUCGGGUCUACGGUCCUGGGAGAACCAUACAGACUCAGGAAGUGGAGCAGCAACACCCAGAGACAGAGUGCUGGAAA